rnacentral:rRNA from 1 species
GACAGAGGGUGCAAACGUUGCUCGGAAUCACUGGGCGUAAAGGGCGUGUAGGCGGAUCGGCAAGUCGGGCGUGAAAUCCCUGGGCUCAACCCAGGAACUGCACUCGAAACUGCCUUUCUUGAGUGUCGGAGAGGAAAGCGGAAUUCCUGGUGUAGAGGUGAAAUUCGUAGAUAUCAGGAGGAACACCAGUGGCGAAGGCGGCUUUCUGGACGAUAACUGACGCUGAGACGCGAAAGCGUGGGGAGCAAACAGG